rnacentral:misc_RNA from 1 species
GGCAAUUUCUUCUCGUUUCAAUGUCGAGGCUUUAGCUGUUGUGGCCAGAACACACUCGGGUGACAUGUGGGUGGAAAUGUAACCAUGUCCAAGCAAUGAUAGACCCUCAGGCUAUUGAGGCGUUGGCUUGCCGUAAGGCCCUUCAACUAGCUCAAACAAAAGGUUUUUAUCAUAGAAGGUGAUGCUCACAGUGUCAUUCUAUCCAUUUAAGGUCAGCCACCACCCUCUGCCAUUAAAGGAGUAAUUGAACAUAUUUCUCAGCUAUCUCAGGGUUUAGGCAUAUUUCGUUCAACUUUGUUGGAAGAUUUUGU